rnacentral:snRNA from 1 species
GUGCUGGCUUCGGCAGCACAUAUACUAAAACUUGGAACGAUACAGAGAAGAUGAGCAUUGCCCCUGCACAAGGAUCACACGCAAAUUCAUGAAGGGUUCCCAAAAAAA